rnacentral:rRNA from 1 species
AGGGAGGUAGUGACAAGAAAUAACAAUACGGGGCUUGAAGUCUUGUAAUUGGAAUGAUGGGAAUUUAAACCCCUUCCAGAGUAUCAAUUGGAGGGCAAGUCUGGUGCCAGCAGCCGCGGUAAUUCCAGCUCCAAUAGCGUAUAUUAAACUUGUUGCAGUUAAAAAGCUCGUAGUUGAAUUUCUGCUGCAUCGUGGUUCUUCGCUAUGUCGAGUGAUCUUCGUUGUGGCUUAGUUGGGGCAUGUUUUCAUGACUCGACGUUUACUUUGAGAAAAUUAGAGUGCUUCAAGCAGGCUUUUGCCUUGAAUACUUUAGCAUGGAAUAAUGGAGUAGGACUUUGGUUCUAUUUUGUUGGUUUUAGGAGCCGGAGUAAUGGUUAAUAGGAACAGUUGGG